rnacentral:rRNA from 1 species
GAUGAACGCUGGCGGCGUGCCUAAUACAUGCAAGUCGAGCGAACAGACGAGGAGCUUGCUCCUCUGACGUUAGCGGCGGACGGGUGAGUAACAAGUGGAUAACCUACUUAUAAGACUGGGAUAACUUCGGGAAAACGGAGCUACUACCGGAUAAUAUAUUGAACCGCAUGGUUCAAUAGUGAAAGACGGUUUUGCUGUCACUUAUAGAUGGUUUCGCGCCGCAUUAGCUAGUUGGUAAGGUAACGGCUUACCAAGGCAACGAUGCGUAGCCGACCUGAGAGGGUGAUCGGCCACACUGGAACUGAGACACGGUCCAGACUCCUACGGGAGGCAGCAGUAGGGAAUCUUCCGCAAUAGGCGAAAGCUUGACGGAGCAACGCCGCGUGAGUGAUGAAGGUCUUCGGAUCGUAAAACUCUGUUAUUAGGGAAGAACAAAUGUGUAAGUAACUAUGCACGUCUUGACGGUACCUAAUCAGAAAGCCACGGCUAACUACGUG